rnacentral:rRNA from 1 species
CGGCGGACGGGUGAGUAACGCGUGGGUAACCUGCCUUACACAGGGGGAUAACAGUUAGAAAUGACUGCUAAUACCGCAUAACCCGCUAGGGCCGCAUGGCCCGGACGGAAAAGAUUUUAUCGGUGUAAGAUGGACCCGCGUCUGAUUAGCUGGUUGGUGAGGUAACGGCUCACCAAGGCGACGAUCAGUAGCCGACCUGAGAGGGUGAUCGGCCACAUUGGGACUGAGACGCGGCCCAAACUCCUACGGGAGGCAGCAG